GUGCUCGCUUCGGCAGCACAUAUACUAAAACUGGAAUGAUACAGAGAAGAUUAGCAUGGCCCCUGCGCAAGGAUAACACACAAAUCCAUGAUUUUUUUUAUUGUCUA
ensembl:snRNA U6 U6 spliceosomal RNA